GUGGGGAAUAUUGGACAAUGGGGGGAACCCUGAUCCAGCCAUGCCGCGUGUGUGAAGAAGGCCUUUUGGUUGUAAAGCACUUUAAGUGGGGAGGAGGCUUACCUGGUUAAUACCUGGGCUAAGUGGACGUUACCCACAGAAUAAGCACCGGCUAACUCUGUGCCAGCAGCCGCGGUAAUACAGAGGGUGCAAGCGUUAAUCGGAUUUACUGGGCGUAAAGCGCGCGUAGGUGGUUAAUUAAGUCAAAUGUGAAAUCCCCGAGCUUAACUUGGGAAUUGCAUUCGAUACUGGUUGGCUAGAGUAUGGGAGAGGAUGGUAGAAUUCCAGGUGUAGCGGUGAAAUGCGUAGAGAUCUGGAGGAAUACCGAUGGCGAAGGCAGCCAUCUGGCCUAAUACUGACACUGAGGUGCGAAAGCAUGGGGAGCAAACAGGAUUAGAAACCCCAGUAGUCC
rnacentral:rRNA from 1 species